rnacentral:rRNA from 1 species
UCAGGCCUAACACAUGCAAGUCGAACGGUAACGCGGGGGCAACCCUGGCGACGAGUGGCGAACGGGUGAGUAAUACAUCGGAACAUAUCCAGUAGCGGGGGAUAACCUAUCGAAAGAUUGGCUAAUACCGCAUACGAUCUACGGAUGAAAGCGGGGGACCGCAAGGCCUCGCACUAUUGGAGUGGCCGAUGUCAGAUUAGCUAGUUGGUGGGGUAAAAGCCUACCAAGGCGACGAUCUGUAGCUGGUCUGAGAGGACGAUCAGCCACACUGGAACUGAGACACGGUCCAGACUCCUACGGGAGGCAGCAGUGGGGAAUUUUGGACAAUGGGCGCAAGCCUGAUCCAGACAGGCCGCGUGAGUGAAGAAGGCCUUCGGGUUUAAAUAUAUGGCGGGAAGACGAAACGGUUAGUGUUAAUAACG